GCGAAAGGGACAGUAAUGUGUAGGUACCUACCCCCCGAUCUGGGAUAGCUGCGGGAAACUGCAGGUAAUACCGGAUAAUGUCUUCGGACCAAAGGUGUGAUUCCGUCAGGGGAGGGGCCUGCAUCCUAUUAGCUUGUUGGUGAGGUAAUGGCUCACCAAGGCAACGAUGGGUAGCGGGUGUGAGAGCAUGACCCGCGUCAUUGGGACUGAGACACUGCCCAGACAUCUACGGAUGGCUGCAGUCGGGAAUCUUCGGCAAUGGGCGAAAGCCUGACCGAGCGACGCCGCGUGCGGGAUGAAGGCCCUCGGGUUGUAAACCGCUGUCGUUGGGGAGGAAAUGCAAAAGGGUUAUCCCUUCUGUUUGACCGAUCCAAGGAGGAAGUACGGGCUAAGUUCGUGCCAGCAGCCGCGGUAAGACGAACCGUACGAACGUUAUUCGGAAUUACUGGGCUUAAAGGGUGCGUAGGCUGCACGGAAAGUUGGGUGUGAAAGCCCUCAGCUCAACUGAGGAAUUGCAUCCAAAACUGCCGUGCUAGAGGGAGACAGAGGUGAGCGGAACUCAAGGUGGAGCGGUGAAAUGCGUUGAUAUCUUGAGGAACACCGGUGGCGAAAGCGGCUCACUGGGUCUCUUCUGACGCUGAGGCACGAAAGCUAAGGUAGCAAACGGGAUUAGAUACCCCGGUAGUCUUAGCUGUAAACGAUGAGCACUUGAUUGGAGGGUCCUCCAUAGCCUUCCAGUCGUAGCGAAAGUGUUAAGUGCUCCGCCUGGGGAGUAUGGUCGCAAGGCUGAAACUCAAAGAAAUUGACGGGGGCUCACACAAGCGGUGGAGGAUGUGGCUUAAUUCGAGGCUACGCGAAGAACCUUAUCCUAGUCUUGACAUGUAUGGAUUAACCUGUGAAAGCAGGGCAACGCCUUCAGGUGGAACAUACACAGGUGGCUGCAUGGCUGUCGUCAGCUCGUGUCCUGGAAAAUGUCCCGUUAGUCCGCUGACGAGCGAACCCUGGUUCCUAUGUUGUCAGCGCGUUAAUGCAGGUACUCACAGCGAUCUCGUCCGUUAAGCCGGAGGAAGUGGCAUGACCUCAAGUCACUCAUGGCCUUAUGACUA
rnacentral:rRNA from 1 species